rfam:Sus scrofa breed Duroc isolate TJ Tabasco Contig1914_1, whole genome shotgun sequence.
UCCCUGGUGGCCUAGUGGUUGAGGACUCGGCAUUGUCACUGUUGUGGCUCAGGUUCAAUCCCUGGCCCGGGAA